UACAGAGGUGGCAAGCGUUGUUCGGAAUUAUUGGGCGUAAAGAGCGUGUAGGCGGCCAGGUAGGUCUGCUGUGAAAACUCGAGGCUUAACCUCGAGAUGUCGGCGGAAACCAUCUGGCUAGAGUCCGGAAGAGGAGAAUGGAAUUCCCGGUGUAGCGGUGAAAUGUGCAGAUAUCGGGAAGAACACCCGUGGCGAAGGCGGUUCUCUGGGACGGUACUGACGCUGAGACGCGAAAGCGUGGGGAGCGAACAGG
rnacentral:rRNA from 1 species